AGUCUGAUGGAGCAACGCCGCGUGAGUGAAGAAGGGUUUCGGCUCGUAAAGCUCUGUUGGUAGUGAAGAAAGAUAGAGGUAGUAACUGGCCUUUAUUUGACGGUAAUUACUUAGAAAGUCACGGCUAACUACGUGCCAGCAGCCGCGGUAAUACGUAGGUGGCAAGCGUUGUCCGGAUUUAUUGGGCGUAAAGCGAGUGCAGGCGGUUCAAUAAGUCUGAUGUGAAAGCCUUCGGCUCAACCGGAGAAUUGCAUCAGAAACUGUUGAACUUGAGUGCAGAAGAGGAGAGUGGAACUCCAUGUGUAGCGGUGGAAUGCGUAGAUAUAUGGAAGAACACCAGUGGCGAAGGCGGCUCUCUGGUCUGCAACUGACGCUGAGGCUCGAAAGUAUGGGUAGCGAACAGGAUUAGAUACCCUGGUAGUCCAUGCCGUAAACGAUGAGUGCUAAGUGUUGGGAGGUUUCCGCCUCUCAGUGCUGCAGCUAACGCAUUAAGCACUCCGCCUGGGGAGUACGACCGCAAGGUUGAAACUCAAAGGAAUUGACGGGGGCCCGCACAAGCGGUGGAGCAUGUGGUU
rnacentral:rRNA from 1 species